CUGGAUGUUGCAUCUCAUUUGCAUUUAAAAUUUUUCAAGAAGUGUUUGAGCAAAAGCUUUAAGUUUCAAAGAUGUAAUCUGGAGUGAAAUUCUUCUUAGAGAGGUAAGUAUUUAUAAUCUUUUAAAUUUCUAAUUUUACGUGUAAUUUUAGGUUAUUAAUUGAAUGGUUUUGUGUACAUUAUCCUGAAAACUGUGAACAGUACAGAUUCAAUGUUAUAUAGUUGCUGUUUUCGUUAAAUCUCAUGCACAAAACUUCAUAGCUUAUUAAACUAGACAUAUUUAGCUUUCCAUCCAUAUGCUUAUUGUCCAAAAACUCAUUGCAUAUUAAUUGUUUUGAUUUUUCAAAGUUGGAAUACUAGUACUAGAAAAUUUCAAUUUUCAGCAGCAAUCCUCAAUUCUAUAAUUUAUUUUGUAAUCGAAACGACUUCCGAAAAUUUCUGGAAAAUUUUAUUACUAUAUAUCUACAUGUCUAGUUUUUGCGUAUUUAAUUUCGUAAUUGUUGGAUUUAUAUUAAAAUCAUUAAAAAUCAUAGAGCUGGGCUGUCGCAAUCUUGGAAACUGCUUUCUGGGAUGAUAUUGAAGCUAAUUUUAAUUACGUUUUCAUUAGAAAAUGCUUUAAAAAUUUUAAUUCUGAUUCCAUAUUGUCUCCUCUGAUGAUCAAAACUUGAAUCACUAUUUUUGAACACAUAUAACUAAAAUUAUGAAUUUUUGAAUCAACAGUCCUCUGUUUAUUUUGUCACUGAACGAUUUUAAUGUUUUUGUGGAAAAUUAGUUUUUUUCGGAAAUGUUUAUGAACUCUAAUUAAUUUUGUUAACAUUUAUAUUUUAUGCCAACAUGUUUACAGUAGCUUUUAAUAAUUGUGAUUUUCCGACAAUAGUUAUAGCUUGUUAGAAAUCAGCUCCUAUAAGAUGGUCGAGGGUAGUUUGGGGAAUUGAUUUGUUUAGGUUAGGUUUAAUGGUUUAAGGAUGUUCGUAUCUUAUGAAGAUCAGAUUUGAAUAUGAUAUUGAUAAGAAUCUCAUCUUGAAAAUUAUAGGGCAAGAGUGAGCUCAUGUAUCUGGGGUUUUUAUUCGUUGCUUCGGAUCGAGAUAAGUGGAUUCAUGCAUAACGUUUAUUAUAUAUAUAUGUAUGAAUUUGUGUAUGAAAAGAAUAAUGUUGUUCACAAGGAUUGGC
rnacentral:lncRNA from 1 species